rfam:Clostridiales bacterium GWB2_37_7 gwb2_scaffold_451, whole genome shotgun sequence.
AAAUAAGGUUUGUCAUGAGAAGUCAGCAGAGGUCAUAGUACCAAGUGCAGUCGACAGCACGAGGGAAGGGC